CGAACGCUGGCGGCAGGCCUAAUACAUGCAAGUCGAACGGCUCUUCGGAGCAGUGGCGGACGGGUGAGUAACGCGUGGGAAUGUGCCCUUAGGUACGGAACAACACAGGGAAACUUGUGCUAAUACCGUAUGUGCCCUUCGGGGGAAAGAUUUAUCGCCUUUGGAGCAGCCCGCGUUGGAUUAGGUAGUUGGUGAGGUAAAGGCUCACCAAGCCGACGAUCCAUAGCUGGUCUGAGAGGAUGACCAGCCACACUGGGACUGAGACACGGCCCAGGCGCCUACGGGAGGCAGCAGUAGGGAAUCUUGCGCAAUGGGCGAAAGCCUGACGCAGCCAUGCCGCGUGUAUGAUGAAGGUCUUAGGAUUGUAAAAUACUUUCACCGGGGAAGAUAAUGACGGUACCCGGAGAAGAAGCCCCGGCUAACUUCGUGCCAGCAGCCGCGGUAAUAC
rnacentral:rRNA from 1 species